CCCUUAGAUGUCCGGGGCUGCACGCGCGCUACACUGUAGAAAGCAGCGUGCUUUAAAACCUUUCCUGAAAAGGAUGGGUAACCCCAGCAAAAUUCUACGUGCUUGGGAUAGAGAUUUGCAAUUUUCUCUCUUGAACGAGGAAUUCCCAGUAAGUGCGAGUCAUCAGCUCGCGUUGAUUACGUCCCUGCCCUUUGUACACACCGCCCGUCGCUACUACCGAUUGGGAAAAUUUUAGAGAGCCCUGGACUGAUGAUUGUUCGGCUUCACGGCCUUACUUUCGUCGGGAAAGAAUUCGAUAAUAUUUUUCUAGAGGAAGUAAAAGUCGUAACA
rnacentral:rRNA from 1 species